rfam:Oleiphilus sp. HI0065 HI0065_c16, whole genome shotgun sequence.
UACUCUUUAAUUUAAAUCCGCACACGUUUCGUCACAUUCAGCUGGGUGCUCCGACAGGGGUUGUUGAAUGGGGGGCGUGGAGGUUCAAC